GAUGAACGCUGGCGGCGUGCCUAAUACAUGCAAGUCGAGCGAACAGACGAGGAGCUUGCUCCUCUGACGUUAGCGGCGGACGGGUGAGUAACACGUUGAUAACCUACCUAUAAGACUGGGAUAACUUCGGGAAACCGGAGCUAAUACCGGAUAAUAUAUUGAACCGCAUGGUUCAAUAGUGAAAGACGGUUUUGCUGUCACUUAUAGAUGGAUCCGCGCCGCAUUAGCUAGUUGGUAAGGUAACGGCUUACCAAGGCAACGAUGCGUAGCCGACCUGAGAGGGUGAUCGGCCACACUGGAACUGAGACACGGUCCAGACUCCUACGGGAGGCAGCAGUAGGGAAUCUUCCGCAAUGGGCGAAAGCUUGACGGAGCAACGCCGCGUGAGUGAUGAAGGUCUUCGGAUCGUAAAACUCUGUUAUUAGGGAAGAACAAAUGUGUAAGUAACUAUGCACGUCUUGACGGUACCUAAUCAGAAAGCCACGGCUAACUACGUG
rnacentral:rRNA from 1 species